rnacentral:rRNA from 1 species
AUGGGAAAGCGCGGGGAGCUUGGAGAUCGUACAUAUACAGAACCUGAGAAAUGGAUGCGUGGUAAAGGGCGGGUAACAAUUCAAUUUGGAUGCUGUUAUAACUAUGCUACGGACAGGAAAGGAAAUCCACCAGGCAUCAUUCGAACUUUUGUUUCUGAUCCGAUCCCUGAACUAUUUAAGGUCAUGAUCAAGAGAUUGGUAAGGUGGCGUAUUCUGCCAACGGAUUGUGUGCCAGACAGUUGCAUUGUCAACAUGUAUGACCCUGGAGAUUGCAUUCCACCACAUAUAGACAGCCAUGAUUUUGUUCGACCAUUUUGUACUGUUUCAUUCCUCAGUGAAUGCGACAUACUUUUUGGGUCUAGUCUGAAAAUCGCUGGUCCUGGAGAAUUUACGGGCUCAUUUGCAAUUCCUCUGCCUGUUGGGUCUGUGCUCGUCAUAAAUGGCAAUGGUGCUGAUGUUGCAAAGCAUUGUGUUCCAGCGGUACCAUCCAAAAGGAUAUCCAUUACCUUCAGAAAAAUGGAUCCUGCAAAGCGUCCGUUCAGUUUCAAGGAUGACCCUGAACUGCUGAACAUCACUCCUCUCGAAGCACCAGCUGCACCCGAAACUAGCAGAUCCUCGGAUGAAGGCAAGGGGAAGCAGCUUGGCGUACAAACUCGGGAUCCAGGCAGCAGAUCAUCCAGAAGCAGGAAAUCCAAAGGAAGAACGACACCUGCUGGAAAGGUUGGAUGGGGGGGCAUUCUUGGAGACCAACCUCCACAGCACCCACAGAGCCCUAUCUCCAGUGUGAGCUCUGACAGAGAGAGGGACUCCAUUGGGUGGUCGAGAGAGCCAAGAUAUCCACCGAGUUCUGACAGAGAAAGGGACUCCGUUGAGAGGCCGAGAGAGCCAAGAUAUCCGCGUGACGCGCCAUCUCAUGGCGAGGACCUCAGAGACCGGCUGAACAGGCCGCCUCAUGAGAGGACGCCUGGCAGCGGCGUGUUCUUCGUCAACAACGGCGCGGACUCCCAGGCCAGGGGGCAGCGGAUGGAGCACAGGCAGCUACAGAUGAUCAACCGCACCAUCAACGACGACAUGGACUCCCUCUCCGUCGGGAGCCACGAGUCCUCCGAGCAGCCCCGUGUCAGCGUGCGGACCAUACACAACAGACCAAGGACCAGAAUAAACCUGGGCUGGUAG